AACGAACGCUGGCGGCAUGCCUAACACAUGCAAGUCGAACGAGACCUUCGGGUCUAGUGGCGCACGGGCGCGUAACGCGUGGGAACCUGCCUUUAGGUUCGGAAUAACUCCGAGAAAUUUGAGCUAAUACCGGAUGAUGUCUUCGGACCAAAGAUUUAUCGCCUUUAGAUGGGCCCGCGUUGGAUUAGCUAGUUGGUGGGGUAAAGGCCUACCAAGGCGACGAUCCAUAGCUGGUCUGAGAGGAUGAUCAGCCACACUGGGACUGAGACACGGCCCAGACUCCUACGGGAGGCAGCAGUGGGGAAUAUUGGACAAUGGGCGAAAGCCUGAUCCAGCAAUGCCGCGUGAGUGAUGAAGGCCUUAGGGUUGUAAAGCUCUUUUACCCGAGAUGAUAAUGACAGUACCGGGAGAAUAAGCUCCGGCUAACUCCGUG
rnacentral:rRNA from 1 species